AAAAAUUAAGUGCAACAAAAUAUCAAAGUAGACUACGCGGAUUAUAGAGUCAAAUGAAUGUAAAAGAGUAGGGAUAUAAAAUUCGAACGUAGGUUUUUAUACUGGUUCGGCCUCAAGGCCUACAUCCAGUGUCCUUCCAAUCCUAGGAAGCAAAUUCACUAUAAUGGUCAAGGUUUUUACAACAAGGCUUUUAUAGAGACCUCCACGUCAAAAAUAUAAAACACCUCUCUAACCCUCUAACCAAAAUAUAGCCAAUAAAACAACAAAGAUAUACAACAAGAUGUCCCCUCUUCUGCAAUCUUCAACCCACUUUGAACAAUCCUGAAAGUGUCCAGACUCCACGAGUUCACCCCCUAUAAUCACAAUAGGUACAACAAUCUCCAGCAGAUUGUAACACGAG
rnacentral:lncRNA from 1 species